UCCACUGAGGCUCUCUAAUGAUGCGCAAUUAGGGUCAAGAGUAGGGUCAUUGUCUUUAACCCACUCUUGACCAAAACUAGGGCUUUGAUUAACUCAAGUUUUCCAACAUGGCAUCUGUUAAUUCUCUCCAUUUCAUUUGGGGGCAUCUUUCUCUGGAAAGUUAAGUCCACUUAGGGGUCUUGACUGAAAAUUAGUGAGGUGACUCAUUUUGGAAGGACUUAACAAGGUAAAGGGAUAAUGAUGGAUGUUCAGACCUGGGAGUACACGAUUAUGAAUGGUCGACCAACUUGAAGAGGAGCAGGGCAUUCACUGAGAUCAUGGAAAAAAGGACACCAGCCUGUCAAUCCUUUCUUGAUUGAAGAUAUUACGAACAGCUCAUGAAACUAGGCAAGCAAGACAAUACAUCACCUUGAUGUGCCACAGACUCCUGCUUUCAGGCUAUUUUAGAUUUCUUUACAAUGCCAAGAAACCCAUUUCUCUGCAUUUCUCACUUAGUAAAGGGUGCCCCAACUCAGCCCAUACUGCCAAAGGUUUCUUCAAAGAGUCUGAGUGACAAGAACCUUACAAGCUCGCAGUCAACAGGGCUCUGGUUUACACACUUUGAUGGACAAAAGCCUGCGACUGUUAGCCUCAGAGACAAACAGAUAUGGGAAUAAAAAAAAAAACUUAUGAUGCCUUCUGCAGCAGUUAUAAUGUUGAAACAUACGGAUUAUUUAAGUUUACAUUAUUUUUCCACAAUAGGCAACAUAUAUUCAGAAUUCAAGUUGAUGCCUUAACAGUACAAAUUACAAAUAGAUAAUUUUUAUUUCAACUUUUUA